AGCUUUCAUAAGCGGAGGAAAAGAAACUAACAAGGAUUCCCCUAGUAACGGCGAGUGAAGCGGGAAGAGCUCAAAUUUGUAAUCUGGCACUUUCAGUGUCCGAGUUGUAAUCUCGAGAAGUAUUUUCCGCGCCGGACUGCAUACAAGUCUGUUGGAAUACAGCGUCAUAGUGGUGAGAACCCCGUAACUGAUGCAGAUGCCCGGUGCUUUGUGAUAUACUUUCGAAGAGUCGAGUUGUUUGGGAAUGCAGCUCAAAUUGGGUGGUAAAUUCCAUCUAAAGCUAAAUAUUGGAGCAAGACCGAUAGCGAACAAGUACCGUGAGGGAAAGAUGAAAAGCACUUUGGAAAGAGAGUUAACAGUACGUGAAAUUGUUGGAAGGGAAACGCUUGAAGUCAGACUUGCUAUUCGGAGUUCAGCCGCAAGGUGUAUUCUUCGAUUUGCAGGCCAGCAUCAGUUUUCGGGGGUGGAAAAUCGUGGUUUGAAGGUAGCAACUUCGGUUGUGUUAUAGCUUUCCACUGGAUUCAUCUUUGGGGACUGAGGAACGCAGUACGCUUUUUGCAAGGCCCUCGGGCUCUCGUACUUA
rnacentral:rRNA from 1 species